UAUAUUUGCACGCUGUCCGAAAAUCGGCAGCAUACAUAAAAAUCAUUUAAAAUAAUAUUGGCAUG
rnacentral:ncRNA from 1 species